AAACUCUGAUGCAGCGAUGCCGCGUGAGUGAAGAAGGCCCUUGGGUUGUAAAGCUCUUUUGUCGGGUAAGAUAAUGACUGUACCCGAAGAAUAAGGUCCGGCUAACUUCGUGCCAGCAGCCGCGGUUAUACGNAGGGACCUAGCGUAAUUCGGAAUUACUGGGCGUAAAGCGCGCGUAGGCGGUUNAAAAAGUUCAUUGUGAAAUCCCAAAGCUCAACUUUGGAACUGCCAUNUAAACUGUUUAACUAGAGUUUAUCAGAGGAAAGCGGAAUUCAUAGUGUAGAGGUGAAAUUNGUAGAUAUUAUGUAGAACACCAGUUGCGAAGGCGGCUUUCUGGGNUAAUACUGACACUGNUGNGCGAAAGCAUGGGUUGCGAAGAGGAUUAGAUACCCUCGUAGUCCAUACCGUACACGAUGAUUGCACGACGUUGGAAAUGUAUUUUCAGCUUCACAGNUAACGCGUUUAACAAUCCGCCUGGGGAGUACGACCGCCAGGUUAAAACUCAAA
rnacentral:rRNA from 1 species